rnacentral:misc_RNA from 1 species
GAUGAAGAACGCAGCGAAAUGCGAUAAGUAAUGUGAAUUGCAGAAUUCAGUGAAUCAUCGAAUCUUUGAACGCACAUUGCGCCCGCCAGUAUUCUGGCGGGCAUGCCUGUUCGAGCGUCAUUACAACCCUCAGGCCCCCGGGCCUGGCGUUGGGGAUCGGCGGAGCCCCCCGUGGGCACACGCCGUCCCCCAAAUACAGUAGCGGUCCCGCCGCAGCUUCCAUCGCGUAGUAGCUAACACCUCGCGACUGGAGAGCGGCGCGGCCACGCCGUAAAACACCCAACUCUUCUGAAGUUGACCUCGAAUCAGGUAGGAAUACCCGCUGAACUUAAGCAUAUCAAUAAGCGGAGGA